GGGGUUGUAGCUCAGCUUGGUUAGAGUACCUGCCUGUCACGCAGGGGGCCGCGGGUUCGAGUCCCGUCAACCCCG
rnacentral:tRNA from 1 species